rnacentral:rRNA from 1 species
AACGAACGCUGGCGGCAUGCCUAACACAUGCAAGUCGAACGAGACCUUCGGGUCUAGUGGCGCACGGGUGCGUAACGCGUGGGAAUCUGCCCUUGGGUUCGGAAUAACAGUUAGAAAUGACUGCUAAUACCGGAUAAUGUCUUCGGACCAAAGAUUUAUCGCCCAGGGAUGAGCCCCGCGUAGGAUUAGCUAGUUGGUGAGGUAAAGGCUCACCAAGGCGACGAUCCUUAGCUGGUCUGAGAGGAUGAUCAGCCACACUGGGACUGAGACACGGCCCAGACUCCUACGGGAGGCAGCAGUGGGGAAUAUUGGACAAUGGGCGAAAGGACCUGAUCCAGCAAAUGCCGCGU